UUGGAAGGUGAAUUUCAAGAUAAGCAUUUCCUUGAUGAAUGUGAGAAAUUAGAAAGUAACAUUAAGGAUUUUAAACUUCAAGAAGAAUUAUAUCGAAAACAAUCUAGAUUAAUUACAAAUUUGGAGGUAGAAAAGACAAAAUUAACAAGCAAAGUAAUCAAAUACCGUUAAAAAUACAACAAAAUUAAAGCAUAUAUAGAAGAAGUUAAAUCAAUGAUAACAAGUCAAAAUAUAAAAAAACUAGCGGAAGAAAAUAUUGAUCACUGUAAAACAAAGAAAACAAUACAAAAGCAAGCGAUAGAUUUGCAAAGCUAUGCUAAAGAAUUAAGUAAUAUAUUGAGUGAAAAAGUAAACAAUGAUUUUCUGUAAACUUAAUUCUUAAAUUUCAAAAAAAAUAUCACUUAUCUACAGUCUGCUACUACUAGUUCGUGGUAAUGACAAGCUAUUAAGACUUAUUAUCCCUGAGCUUGAGUUGUCCUUUUUAAAAGUACAAUGAAAAAACUAUGAGUAAUUUUGUGUAAUUGCUAUAAGACGUAUGAAAAUGACUGCAUAAAGAUAUACUGGAAAUCAAUUAGAUAAAACAUAUUAUAAUUUACCAAAAAAAAAAAUUCCAUGGAUCA